rnacentral:rRNA from 1 species
AGUCCACGCCGUAAACGAUGUCUACUUGGAGGUUGUGGCCUUGAGCCGUGGCUUUCGGAGCUAACGCGUUAAGUAGACGCCUGGGGAGUACGGUCGCAAGAUUAAAACUCAAAUGAAUUGACGGGGGCCCGCACAAGCGGUGGAGCAUGUGGUUUAAUUCGAUGCAACGCGAAGAACUUUACCUACUCUUGACAUCCAGAGAAC